rnacentral:rRNA from 1 species
AGUGAACGCUGGCGGUAGGCCUAACACAUGCAAGUCGAACGGCAGCACAGUAAGAGCUUGCUCUUACGGGUGGCGAGUGGCGGACGGGUGAGGAAUACAUCGGAAUCUACUUUUUCGUGGGGGAUAACGUAGGGAAACUUACGCUAAUACCGCAUACGACCUACGGGUGAAAGCAGGGGAUCUUCGGACCUUGCGCGAUUGAAUGAGCCGAUGUCGGAUUAGCUAGUUGGCGGGGUAAAGGCCCACCAAGGCGACGAUCCGUAGCUGAUCUGAGAGGAUGAUCAGCCACACUGGAACUGAGACACGGUCCAGACUCCUACGGGAGGCAGCAGUGGGGAAUAUUGGACAAUGGGCGCAAGCCUGAUCCAGCCAUACCGCGUGGGUGAAGAAGGCCUUCGGGUUGUAAAGCCCUUUUGUUGGGAAAGAAAAGCAGCAGGUUAAUACCCCGCUGUCCUGACGGUACCCAAAGAAUAAGCACCGGCUAACUUCG